UACGUAGGGUGCAAGCGUUAAUCGGAAUUACUGGGCGUAAAGCGUGCGCAGGCGGUUAUAUAAGACAGUUGUGAAAUCCCCGGGCUCAACCUGGGAACUGCAUCUGUGACUGUAUAGCUAGAGUACGGUAGAGGGGGAUGGAAUUCCGCGUGUAGCAGUGAAAUGCGUAGAUAUGCGGAGGAACACCGAUGGCGAAGGCAAUCCCCUGGACCUGUACUGACGCUCAUGCACGAAAAGCGU
rnacentral:rRNA from 1 species